UGGGGAAUCUUGCACAAUGGGGGAAACCCUGAUGCAGCGACGCCGCGUGAGCGAUGUAGCCCUUCGGGGUGUAAAGCUCUUUCGGCUGGAACGAUAAUGACGGUACCAGCAGAAGAAGCUGCGGCUAACUACGUGCCAGCAGCCGCGGUAAUACGUAGGCAGCGAGCGUUGUUCGGAGUUACUGGGCGUAAAGAGUGCGUAGGCGGUGCGGUAAGUCUGGUGUGAAAUCUCCCGGCUCAACUGGGAGGGUGCGCUAGAAACUGCCGUGCUAGAGUGUGGGAGAGGUAAGCGGAAUUCCUGGUGUAGCGGUGAAAAUGCGUAGAUAUCAGGAGGAACACCUGCGGUUGUUAGACAGCUUACUGGACCAUAACUGACGCUGAGGCACGAAGCGUGGGUAGCAAACA
rnacentral:rRNA from 1 species